UACGGAGGGGGUUAGCGUUGUUCGGAAUGACUGGGCGUAAAGCGCGCGUAGGCGGGCUGGAAAGUUGGGGGGUGAAAUCCCGGGGCUCAACCCCGGAAUGGCCUUCAAAACUCCCAGCCUAGAGUUCGAGAGAGGUGAGUGGAAUUCCGAGUGUAGAGGUGAAAUUCGUAGAUAUUCGGAGGAACACCAGUGGCGAAGGCGGCUCACUGGCUCGACACUGACGCUGAGGUGCGAAAGCGUGGGGAGCAAACAGG
rnacentral:rRNA from 1 species